UCUGAAUGUGGAUUUUUAUUUUAUUAUAUAAUAAAUAUUUAAAUAAAAAAAWAAAAAAAAAAAUAAACUUAUAAGCUAUAUAAAAUUUAAAAUUUUCAGUGGCAUACUGGUGAGUAAUACAUAAGAAAACUAUCCUUUUAUUUUUUUUUUAAGCUUAAAAAAAAGCUAUUUUUUAAGGUGGUCUUAUGCCUAAUUAGCUAGUUGGUAAAAUAAUAGUUUACCAAGGCAAUAAUAAGUAGUUGGUCCUAUUAGGAUGAUCAACCACAUGGAAUUAAUAUAUAUCCAACUCUUUUUAGAGUAGCAGUGAGGAAUUUUUCGCAAUGGGCGGCAAAAGCUUGACGAACACAAUGCUACGUGUGGGUAGAGGCCUUUGGCCAUGAACUUCUUUUUUUGAAAAAGAAAAAUAUAAAUGACAAUAUUCAAAGAAUAAACAUCGGCUAACUCUGUGCCAGCAGCCGCGGUAAUACAGAGGAUGUAAGCGUUAUUCAGAAUCAUUGGGCGUAAAGUGUUUGUAGGUUACUUUUUAAGUCUGUUGUAAAAUACUGGAGCUAUACUCCAUAUAAAUUAAAUUAGCAAAAGAAACUAAAAAGUUAGAGAGUACUUUUAAGGCAGAAGGAAUUUUUGAGGUAGCAGUGAAAUGCAUAGAUAUCAGAAGGAACACCAAUAGCGAAAGCAUUCUGCUAUAAAAAACACUAACACUAAGAGACGAAAGCUUCCGGUAUCAAAUAGGAUUAGAAACCCUAGUAGUCUAAGCCGUAAACAAUGGAUACUAAGCACUGUACUUUUUUUUUUAUUUAUAUUAUAUUAUAUUAUAUUAUAUUAUAUUAUAUGGAAUUUACCCUUAUGUAGCUGUAGCUAACGCAUUAAGUAUCCUGCCUGGGGAGUACGUUUGCAAAAAUGAAACUUAAAGGAAUUGACGGGGGCUCACACAAGCAAUGGAGCAUGUGGUUUAAUUCGAUGUAAACCGAGGAAUCUUACCAAGCUUGACAUACCUAUGAUAUAAAUAUAAUAUUUUAUUUUUUUUUUUCGGUUUUUUUACUAGGUACAGGUGGUGCAUGGCUGACAUAAGCUCGUGCCAUAAGGUAUAAAUUAUGAUUAAAUUCAUCAACGAGCAAAACAUCUAUUUUUAGAUACUUUAUUAUAAUUAUAAUAAUUAUAUUAUAUUAUAUUAUUAAAAUUAAUAAAUUUAUUAAUUAUUUAUAUUUAUACUAAAUAAACUUCCAAUUAAAAAAAGUGGGGAAGAUGGGUAUUACGCCAAGUCAUCAUGCCCCAAAAGUAUUGGGCGACACACAUGCUACACUGGAUGGUACAAAAAUAUAAAUUAUUAAAAAAAAUCAUUUAUAUUCUUUUUACAUAAUAUUUAUGUUUUUCGGAUUGUAGACUGCAAUUCGUCUACAUAAAGUUGGAAUUGCUAGUAAUCGUCUUUUAGUCUUAUGAUGGUGAAUUUUUGUUCUUGAGUCUUGUACAUACCGCCCGUCACACUAUAAGUAAUUAGAUCUUACAGAAAUAAUAAUAAAAAUUAAAAAUAUAUGUGUUUUUAUUAUUAUUUUUGUUUUUAGCUAGUAAUUAGAGUGAAGUCGUAACAAGGUAGGCAUACUGGAAGGUGUGGCUGGAUUAUCUCCUUU
rnacentral:rRNA from 1 species